rnacentral:ncRNA from 1 species
UUAAAUAUUAAUAAAACAGGUGCCGGCAGUAACGAAGGGUUACAGGCCGGUGAAAAGGGAAGAGGGGUGAAAGUCCCCCGCGGUCCCGCCGCUGUAAAAGAAGAGUUCCUCCAGGAAUGCCACCAGAAAUGGGAAGGCAGGAGGUAAUGUUGACGCUUGAGCCAGAAGACCUGCCUGCUUUAAUUACUCAGA